GUAGGUGGCAAGCGUUGUCCGGAAUUAAUGGGCGUAAAGCGCGCGCAGGCGGUUCUUUAAGUCUGAUGUGAAAGCCCACGGCUCAACCGUGGAGGGUCAUUGGAAACUGGAGAACUUGAGUACAGAAGAGGAAAGCGGAAUUCCACGUGUAGCGGUGAAAUGCGUAGAGAUGUGGAGGAACACCAGUGGCGAAGGCGGCUUUCUGGUCUGUAACUGACGCUGAGGCGCGAAAGCGUGGGGAGCAAACAGGAUUAGAUACCCUGGUAGUCCACGCCGUAAACGAUGAGUGCUAAGUGUUAGGGGGGUUUUCCGCCCCCCUUAGUGCUGCAGCUAACGCAUUAAGCACUCCGCCUGGGAGUACGGCCGCAAGGCUG
rnacentral:rRNA from 1 species